UCAUUUUUUUGCAUAAUUGUGCUUCAACAGAGGUUAUUUUUUAAAUAGUAUUGUGCCGUUUACAUUGCUUGUAACGGCAGGAUGUACACUCUAAAAAAUGCUGGGUUAUUUGUUUAACCCAACAGCUGGGUUGAGCCUGUUGGGUCAUUUUGUUGGGUUAUUUUCUUAGUGUUGGGUCAUUUUUUGAGUAACCCAAACGCUGGGUUACCAGUCUGGUCCAAUUGAGUGACAGUUGAGAGAGUAAACCCCCCCACUCCUCUACGCAUCAGACAAACUUUACCUUCGCGGGCAUUUUGAUCCACUUCAUCUCGGAAAGCUGUUAUUCGGAGAAUAAAAGAUCCCACUCUUCUUUUUUCCCCCACUGACAGCGUGCAGAAUAACAGCUAAUAUUAAUGGAUCAUUCUAUUCAAGAGAAUGUCAACUGGAACUUGGAUGUUUUCAUAACAGGCUUAAAGAUGAACAAAUUGAUAAAGAAACCCUCCUGCUGGACAUCCAAUUCCAAAAGUGCACGCCACACUGUUGUCUACAACUCCCAGGAAAAGAAUCCUCUUUAGUAAGACUGCUCCGUGGAUAUUUUAGGUUAAGCAGUGCUGAAACCGAACGAACUAACACUAUUUAAAAUGUUUUGUGAGUUUA